rnacentral:rRNA from 1 species
UGGGGGAUAUUGCACAAUGGGGGAAACCCUGAUGCAGCAACGCCGCGUGAAGGAAGAAGGUCUUCGGAUUGUAAACUUCUGUCCUCAGGGAAGAUAAUGACGGUACCUGAGGAGGAAGCUCCGGCUAACUACGUGCCAGCAGCCGCGGUAAUACGUAGGGAGCGAGCGUUGUCCGGAUUUACUGGGUGUAAAGGGUGCGUAGGCGGAUAGGCAAGUCAGUGGUGAAAUCUAUGGGCUUAACCCAUAAACUGCCAUUGAAACUGUUUAUCUUGAGUGGAGUAGAGGCAGGCGGAAUUCCCGGUGUAGCGGUGAAAUGCGUAGAGAUCGGGAGGAACACCAGUGGCGAAGGCGGCCUGCUGGGCUUUAACUGACGCUGAGGCACGAAAGUGUGGGUAGCAAACA